rnacentral:rRNA from 1 species
UACGAGGGGUCCUAGCGUUGUUCGGAAUCAUUGGGCGUAAAGAGUAUGUAGGCGGCUAGAUAAGUCAGGUGUGAAAUCCCCGGGCUCAACCCGGGAAGUGCAUUUGAUACUGUCUAGCUUGAGUACGGCAGAGGGGGAUGGAAUUCCGCGUGUAGCAGUGAAAUGCGUAGAUAUGCGGAGGAACACCGAUGGCGAAGGCAAUCCCCUGGGCCUGUACUGACGCUCAUGCACGAAAGCGUGGGGAGCAAACAGG